UACGUAGGGUGCAAGCGUUAAUCGGAAUUACUGGGCGUAAAGCGUGUGUAGGCGGACUUCUAAGUGCCUUGUGAAAUCCCACGGCUCAACCGUGGAACUGCUGGGCAUACUGGGAGUCUUGGGCCAUUCAGGGGCAACUGGAACAAGCGGUGGAGCGGUGAAAUGCGUAGAUAUCGCUUGGAACGCCGAAGGUGAAAACAGGUUGCUGGGGAUGUGCCGACGUGAGACACGAAAGCCAGGGGAGCAAACGGG
rnacentral:rRNA from 1 species